rnacentral:rRNA from 1 species
GAUGAACGCUGGCGGCGUGCCUAAUACAUGCAAGUCGAGCGAACAGACGAGGAGCUUGCUCCUCUGACGUUAGCGGCGGACGGGUGAGUAACACGUGGAUAACCUACCUAUAAGACUGGGAUAACUUCGGGAAACCGGAGCUAAUACCGGAUAAUAUAUUGAACCGCAUGGUUCAAUAGUGAAAGACGGUUUUGCUGUCACUUAUAGAUGGAUCCGCGCCGCAUUAGCUAGUUGGUAAGGUAACGGCUUACCAAGGCAACGAUGCGUAGCCGACCUGAGAGGGGGAUCGGCCACCUUGGACAUGAGACACGGUCCAGACCCCUACGGGAGGCAGCAGAGGGGAAUCUUCCGCAAGGGGCGAAAGCCGGACGGAGAAACGCCGCGGGGGUGAUGAAGGUUUUCGGAUCGUAAAACUCUGUUUUUGGGGAAGAAAAAAUGUGUAAGUAACUAUGCCCGUCUUGACGGUACCUAAUCAGAAAGCCACGGCUAACUACGU